UGGGGAAUUUUGGACAAUGGGCGCAAGCCUGAUCCAGCCAUGCCGCGUGUCUGAAGAAGGCCUUCGGGUUGUAAAGGACUUUUGUCAGGGAAGAAAAGGCUGUUGCUAAUAUCAGCGGCUGAUGACGGUACCUGAAGAAUAAGCACCGGCUAACUACGUGCCAGCAGCCGCGGUAAUACGUAGGGUGCAAGCGUUAAUCGGAAUUACUGGGCGUAAAGCGAGCGCAGACGGUUACUUAAGCAGGAUGUGAAAUCCCCGGGCUCAACCUGGGAACUGCGUUCUGAACUGGGUGACUAGAGUGUGUCAGAGGGAGGUAGAAUUCCACGUGUAGCAGUGAAAUGCGUAGAGAUGUGGAGGAAUACCGAUGGCGAAGGCAGCCUCCUGGGAUAACACUGACGUUCAUGCUCGAAAGCGUGGGUAGCAAACAGGAUUAGAUACCCUGGUAGUCCACGCCCUAAACGAUGUCAAUUAGCUGUUGGGCAACUUGAUUGUUCAGUAGCGUANCUAACGCGUGAAAUUGACCGCCUGGGGAGUACGACCGCAAGGUUG
rnacentral:rRNA from 1 species